AUGGUCUCCAGGCUCCUGUGCUGUGUGGCCCUCUGCCUGCUAGCAGCAGGCCCUUUGGACACAGCUGUUUCUCAGACUCCAAAAUAUCUCCUCACACAAGUCGGCAAUAAAGCAACUAUGAAAUGUGAACAAGAUCUGAAUCAUGAAGCUAUGUACUGGUAUAAGCAGGACUCUGAGAAUUCGCUGAAGAUUUUGUUUUCCUACAACAAUAAGGUGCCCAUUUUAAAUGAAACAGGUUCAAAUCGUUUCUCACCUGAGUCUCCAGACAAAGCACAUUUAAACAUUCAUAUCAAGGCCCUGAAGGCAGAAGACUCGGCUGUGUAUCUCUGUGCCAGCAGUGUAGACACAGCCUUGCAAAGCCACUGCCUGCCUGUGCACAAACCUCAUGUGCCCUCAGGAAACUGUGGGGACAGCAUGCUCACUGCUCCCCAAGGCUCUGUUCCUCAUUUCGUGGGUUGA